UAUGCCUCCCCAUAGUGAUUUCCAUUCCAACUUUGCUUUGCCAGGCUGUAAAAAGAAAAGUCUCUUUCUUCCCCUUUCUCUCACAUGCCCGCCUGCUGUUGCUAGUCUCCCUUUAACACCUACUGGACCAAGCCAUUAACUUACCUCCUGUUGGUGCCACCUAGCUUCUGGAUUGCUAGAGCCAGCAGAUCCUGAAGGGAGAGAAAGAAGCACAGACAUUUCAUCUGAUUGUUGGACUGGCUCCCUAUUCCACUGCUGAAUGUGCCAUGGUGGGGUAAAAGAAAAAAAAGGGGAAGAUGGAAAAAUUAGAGCCUUCCCCAGUUCACAUCUGGUGGGAUCCUAUGGAUGACCUGAGCAACAGUCCAGCCACCAAAAUGGUUUGGACUUUGCAAACUGUUGUCUUUUCACCAAUGUCCUGAAUAAGCCCAUUCUGUCAAGGAAGGACAGAAACAAGGUGGUUAACAUAAGCCAGCUGAAGACGCCUGCUGCUUUUCCUGUAAAUAACGCUGACCUUUUGGAACACUGACAGAAACUGCUGUAAAGCAACAAAAUAAACUCCUUGUUUCUCUCCCUUACGUGCAAAGAUACAUUGGUGAGUGCAUGUAUUUAGGUACACCUCAUGAUAUUAGCCAAACAGCCAGCUUUCAUGCACAGCAAUGCAGGACAGUGCACAGCUUCAGCAGCCAGUCAGUUUGCUGUGGAGACUAAGCUCCUGGCAAAAAGUGUGAAUGUUUACAGCAUACUUCAAGGAGCCCUGAAACUGCAGGCAGUCAGAAAUCCAAUGACAAUUUAACUACGUAAUCACUACAGUAGCAGAGGAGUAUUUUUG